AUGAAAUGCGUGGUGACGUUCGCGUCGCUACACCCUUUUCGAUCUUAACACCUGUGCAUCGUGGUGCGCGAAGGAUGAGCAUGCGCGCACGCGCACGCUCGCCCUUUGAGCCCACAACCUUUCACACAAACUCUAUAAGUUCUAGAAAGUAAAAAAAAAACAUAACAAUGA
rnacentral:misc_RNA from 1 species